AGAGGACCAAUCCGGACCUGUGUUGUCCUUGUUGUUAUACCUCUGAGGUCUCUGAGAAAGCUGUAGACACAGGCGCCAACCUCAUGCUGUCAGUUGAGACCCAUGAAGCUCAGACUAUUUUAGUAUUUUGAAGCAGCUGUGAAGUGGAAUCAUAUUUUCAGCAGAUGCUGGAUUCCUGGUUCGAAUCAACCCAAGAUGAUGAACCCUGAAGAUGGGACAAAGUGCAUGACAAGGCUGCCCAGAUGAAGCCAGCUGUUCUCAACCCCUACAUUGACACACACACACAACACCAGCUUGAUAUGUCCCUUGUCACCUGUCUGAACCCCCUUACCCUGACUAGGGUUGCCCCUGAUCAUAGAUCCCUAUCCCAAUUUGAACUCCAUCUCCCUCUCUCUCCCCCACACCCCCCACAUACAGGCACACAAUAUAGUUUUUAAAUGAGUGUUGUAAUGAUGCUCUUAUUUGGU